rnacentral:rRNA from 1 species
CCUACGGGAGGCAGCAGUGAGGAAUAUUGGUCAAUGGACGAGAGUCUGAACCAGCCAAGUAGCGUGAAGGAUGACUGCCCUAUGGGUUGUAAACUUCUUUUAUAUGGGAAUAAAACGUUCCACGUGUGGGAUUUUGUAUGUACAAUAUGAAUAAGGAUCGGCUAACUCCGUGCCAGCAGCCGCGGUAAUACGGAGGAUCCGAGCGUUAUCCGGAUUUAUUGGGUUUAAAGGGAGCGUAGGUGGAUUGUUAAGUCAGUUGUGAAAGUUUGCGGCUCAACCAUAAAAUUGCAGUUGAAACUGGCAGUCUUGAGUACAGUAGAGGUGGGCGGAAUUCGUGGUGUAGCGGUGAAAUGCUUAGAUAUCACGAAGAACUCCGAUUGCGAAGGCAGUUCACUGGACUGCAACUGACACUGAGGCUCGAAAGUGUGGGUAUCAAACAGGAUUAGAUACCCUAGUAGUC